GUCGAGCGCUUCACUUCGGUGAGGAGCGGCGGACGGGUUAGUAACGCGUGGGAACAUACCCUUUUCUAAGGAAUAGCCUCGGGAAACUGAGAGUAAUACCUUAUACGCCCUUUGGGGGAAAGAUUUAUCGGAGAAGGAUUGGCCCGCGUUAGAUUAGAUAGUUGGUGGGGUAACGGCCUACCAAGUCUACGAUCUAUAGCUGGUUUUAGAGGAUGAUCAGCAACACUGGGACUGAGACACGGCCCAGACUCCUACGGGAGGCAGCAGUGGGGAAUCUUGGACAAUGGGCGCAAGCCUGAUCCAGCCAUGCCGCGUGAGUGAUGAAGGCCUUAGGGUCGUAAAGCUCUUUCGCCAGGGAUGAUAAUGACAGUACCUGGUAAAGAAACCCCGGCUAACUCCGUGCCAGCAGCCGCGGUAAUACGGAGGGGGUUAGCGUUGUUCGGAAUUACUGGGCGUAAAGCGCACGUAGGCGGAUCAGAAAGUUAGGGGUGAAAUCCCAGGGCUCAACCCUGGAACUGCCUCUAAAACUCCUGGUCUAGAGUUCGAGAGAGGUGAGUGGAAUUCCGAGUGUAGAGGUGAAAUUCGUAGAUAUUCGGAGGAACACCAGUGGCGAAGGCGGCUCA
rnacentral:rRNA from 1 species